GAUGAACGCUGGCGGCGUGCUUAACACAUGCAAGUCGAGCGAAGCACUAAAGCGGAUUUCUUCGGAUUGAAGGUUUAGUGACUGAGCGGCGGACGGGUGAGUAACGCGUGGGUAACCUGCCUCAUACAGGGGGAUAACAGUUGGAAACGGCUGCUAAUACCGCAUAAGCGCACAGUACCGCAUGGUACGGUGUGAAAAACUCCGGUGGUAUGAGAUGGACCCGCGUCUGAUUAGGUAGUUGGUGGGGUAACGGCCUACCAAGCCGACGAUCAGUAGCCGACCUGAGAGGGUGACCGGCCACAUUGGGACUGAGACACGGCCCAAACUCCUACGGGAGGCAGCAGUGGGGAAUAUUGCACAAUGGGGGAAACCCUGAUGCAGCGACGCCGCGUGAGCGAAGAAGUAUUUCGGUAUGUAAAGCUCUAUCAGCAGGGAAGAAAAUGACGGUACCKACUAAGAGUCCGYUUUCC
rnacentral:rRNA from 1 species